CUAUUAAAGUAUUAAGUUAUUUUGAUACUGCGUUCAACAGCAAGCAUUGCCGCUUUGUUCAACAAAAUAAAACGAUGUUUCUAUAUCUUUCAAUAACGCUACUGAUUCUCAUCUACUACAUAAUUACGCGAAAAUAUAACUAUUGGCAAUUCAAAAAUGUUCCACACACCAAGCCCAAGUUCCUGCUGGGAAAUUACGGUGACAUGAUCCUUCUGAAGAAAAAUAUAGGGGAAACAAUCCAAGACUAUUGUAAUGCAUUUCCUGAAGAGAAAUACGUUGGGGCAUUCUAUGGAACGGAGCCUGUUCUUAUACCCAAAGAUCCAGAAAUCAUAAAGUUAAUUGUGACGAAAGACUUCUACUACUUCAGUGGACGCGAGCUAUCCGAACACAAUCACAAAGAACCCGCCGCUUUGAACCUCUUCGGAACCCAUGGGGACAACUGGAGAGUACUCCGUCAGAACAUGACUCCACUGUUCUCAUCAGCAAAGAUGAAGAACAUGUUCCAUCUUAUUGAUAAAUGUUCCUACAAAUAUGAAGAAAUGCUCGAUCGGGAAACUAAAAUUUCAAACGAGUUAGAAGUUAGAAGUCUGACAUCAAGAUAUACGAUGGAGUGUAUCGGAGCCUGUGCGUUUGGUGUCGACACAAAUACUAUGGUCGAAGACACAGGGGAAAACCCUUUCAGUAAAAUUGGAAAAAUAAUAGAUUUUCCGCUACAUUUAGUUUUGAUGAGACUAGUACGUUCGUUGUGGCCAUCGAUAUUUUAUUUGUUCGGUGGACGAUUGUUAAAGAAGCAGUUGGAAUUCUUUAACAAUUUAUUACUUCUGUGAUGUCAAAACGUGAAUAUAAACCUUCUGGAAGACAUGAUUUCGUAGAUCUCGUAAUGAGUUGGAAGCAGAGCCAUCAGAUAGUGGGAGAUAGUAUCAAGAAUAUGAAAACUGGAGAACAUAAGAAAGUGACAUUAGAAGCAAACGAUGACUUAUUAGUUGCUCAAUGUUUUGUUUUCUUCGCGGCUGGGUUUGAGACGUCGUCGACAACUUUGGGCUAUACUCUGUACGAACUGGCGAAACAUGAAGAAAUGCAGAAGAAAGUAUUGAAUGAAGUCGACGCAUAUUUAGCUCGCCACAAUAACAAACUGAACUACGACUGUGUUACGGAGCUUCCAUACUUGGAUGCAGUCAUAGAUGAAACUCUGCGUUUCUACCCAGUCCUUGGGAUGAUCCCACGAGAGCUGAUGGAGGACUACACCAUGCCUGAUGGCACAAAGUUAGACAAAGGCCUACGUGUGCACUUGCCUGUGUUCUACUUGCACCACAAUCCAGAAUAUUAUCCAGAACCUGAGGUGUUCCGUCCAGAGAGAUUCCUGGGUGAGGAAAAGAAGAAUAUCAUCCCCUACACCUACAUGCCGUUUGGAGAAGGACCUCGUCUUUGUAUUGGUAAGUAA